AAUAGAUACCCUGGUAGUCCACGCCGUAAACGAUGGAUACUAGCUGUUUGAGCGCAAGUUUGAGUGGCUAAGCGAAAGUGAUAAGUAUCCCACCUGGGGAGUACGGGCGCAAGCCUGAAACUCAAAGGAAUUGACGGGGGCCCGCACAAGCGGUGGAGCAUGUGGUUUAAUUCGAUGAUACGCGAGGAACCUUACCAGGGCUUAAAUGUAGAUUGACGUAUUUGGGAACAGAUAUUUCUUCGGACAAUUUACAAGGUGCUGCAUGGUUGUCGUCAGCUCGUGCCGUGAGGUGUCAGGUUAAGUCCUAUAACGAGCGCAACCCCUGUUGUUAGUUGCCAGCGAGUAAUGUCGGGAACUCUAGCAAGACUGCCAGUGUAAACUGUGAGGAAGGUGGGGAUGACGUCAAAUCAUCACGGCCCUUACGUCCUGGGCCACACACGUGCUACAAUGGCCGGUACAGAGAGCAGCCACUUAGCGAUAAGGAGCGAAUCUAUAAAGCCGGUCACAGUUCGGA
rnacentral:rRNA from 1 species